UACGAAGGGAGCUAGCGUUGUUCGGAAUCACUGGGCGUAAAGCGCACGUAGGCUGUGCUGUAAGUCAGGCGUGAAAGCCCCGGGCUCAACCUGGGAAUUGCGCUUGAUACUGCGGCGCUGGAAGGUGGGAGAGGAUGGCGGAAUUCCAGGUGUAGCGGUGAAAUGCGUAGAUAUCUGGAGGAACACCGGUGGCGAAGGCGGCAUUCUGGACUGUAACUGACACUGAGGAACGAAAGCCAGGGGAGCAAACGGG
rnacentral:rRNA from 1 species